rnacentral:rRNA from 1 species
GGGGGCAACCCUGUGAGUACAGUGGCAGACGGGUGAGUAACACGUGAACAACCUACCCUUGAGUGGGGAAUAACACCGCGAAAGCGGUGCUAAUACAGCAUAACAUCCCUGGGUUGCAUGAUCUGGGGAUCAAAGGCGCAAGUUGCUUGAGGAGGGGUUCGCGGCUGAUUAGCUAGUUGGUGAGGUAACGGCCCACCAAGGCAACGAUCAGUAGCCGGCCUGAGAGGGCGAACGGCCACACUGGAACUGAGACACGGUCCAGACUCCUACGGGAGGCAGCAGUGGGGAAUUUUGCGCAAUGGGCGAAAGCCUGACGCAGCAACGCCGCGUGGAGGAUGAAGGCCUUCGGGUCGUAAACUCCUGUCAGGGGGGACGAAAGCCGGGAAACCGGCAUGACUGUACCCUCUGAGGAAGCCACGGCUAACUCCGUGCCAGCAGCCGCGGUAAUACGGAGGUGGCAAGCGUUGUUCGGAAUUACUGGGCGUAAAGGGCGCGUAGGCGGCUUGGCAAGUCAGAUGUGAAAGCCCCGGGCUUAACUCGGGAACUGCAUCUGAAACUGCUUUGCUUGAGUCCUGGAGGGGGUAGUGGAAUUCCCAGUGUAGCGGUGAAAUGCGUAGAUAUUGGGAGGAACACCUGUGGCGAAGGCGGCUACCUGGACAGUGACUGACGCUGAGGCGCGAAAGCUAGGGGAGCAAACGGGAUUAGAUACCCCGGUAGUCCUAGCCGUAAACGAUGGACACUUGGUGUUGGGGGUAUUGAGUCCCCCGGUGCCGGAGUUAACACGUUAAGUGUCCCGCCUGGGGAGUACGGUCGCAAGACUGAAACUCAAAGGAGUUGACGGGGGCCCCGC